AACGAACGCUGGCGGCAUGCCUAACACAUGCAAGUCGAACGAGACCUUCGGGUCUAGUGGCGCACGGGUGCGUAACGCGUGGGAACCUGCCCUUAGGUUCGGAAUAACUCCCCGAAAGGGGUGCUAAUACCGGAUAAUGUCUUCGGACCAAAGAUUUAUCGCCUUUGGAUGGGCCCGCGUUGGAUUAGCUAGUUGGUAGGGUAAAAGCCUACCAAGGCGACGAUCCAUAGCUGGUCUGAGAGGAUGAUCAGCCACACUGGGACUGAGACACGGCCCAGACUCCUCCGGGAGGCAGCAGUGGGGAAUUUUGGACACUGGGCGAAAGCCUGAUCCCGCAAUGCCGCGUGGGUGAUGAAGGCUUUAGGGUUGUAAAGCUUUUUUCCCCGGGAUGAUAAUGCCGGUACCGGGAGAAUAAGCCCCGGCUACCUCCGU
rnacentral:rRNA from 1 species